rnacentral:rRNA from 1 species
AUUGAACGCUGGCGGCAGGCCUAACACAUGCAAGUCGAACGAGUGGCGCACGGGUGAGAAAUGUCUGGGAAACAGCUUGAUGGAGGGGGAUAAUUACUGGAAACGGUAGCUAAUACAGCAUACCAUCAGCUGUGCCAAGAUGGGACUCGGUUGUUGGUGGGGUAACGGCUCACCACGGCGCCGAUCCCUAGCGGGUCUGAGAGGGUGAACAGCCACACUGGAACUGAGACACGGUCCAGACCCGUACGGGAGGCAGCAGUGGGGAAUAUUGCGCAAUGGGCGCAAGCCUGAUGCAGCCAUGCCGCGUGUGUGAAGAAGGCCUUCGGAUUGUAAAGUACUUUCAGCGGGGAGGCGUUACCCGCAGAAAAAGCACCGGCUAACUCCGUGCCAGCAGCCGCGGUAAUAC